rnacentral:rRNA from 1 species
CGAACGCUGGCGGCGUGCUUAACACAUGCAAGUCGAACGGAAAGGCCCUGCUUGCAGGGUACUCGAGUGGCGAACGGGUGAGUAACACGUGGGUGAUCUGCCCUGCACUUCGGGAUAAGCUUGGGAAACUGGGUCUAAUACCGGAUAGGACCGCACUUUAGUGUGUGUGGUGGAAAGUUUUUUCGGUGUAGGAUGAGCUCGCGGCCUAUCAGCUUGUUGGUGGGGUAAUGGCCUACCAAGGCGGCGACGGGUAGCCGGCCUGAGAGGGUGUACGGCCACAUUGGGACUGAGAUACGGCCCAGACUCCUACGGGAGGCAGCAGUGGGGAAUAUUGCACAAUGGGCGCAAGCCUGAUGCAGCGACGCCGCGUGGGGGAUGAAGGCCUUCGGGUUGUAAACUCCUUUCGCUAGGGACGAAGCUUUUUGUGACGGUACCUAGAUAAGAAGCACCGGCUAACUACGUG